UACGUAGGGUGCGAGCGUUAAUCGGAAUUACUGGGCGUAAAGCGUGCGCAGGCGGUUGUGCAAGACAGAUGUGAAAUCCCCGGGCUUAACCUGGGAACUGCAUUUGUGACUGCAUAGCUAGAGUGUGUCAGAGGGGGGUAGAAUUCCACGUGUAGCAGUGAAAUGCGUAGAUAUGUGGAGGAACACCGGUGGCGAAGGCGGCAUCCUGGACCAACACUGACGCUGAGGAGCGAAAGCCAGGGGAGCAAACGGG
rnacentral:rRNA from 1 species